ncrna:unclassified sequences AdoCbl variant RNA
GUGUUGAAAUGCAUGGUGGGAAAUAAGUGUGAAAUUCACUAGCUGUUCCUGCAACGGUAAAAGUCCGAGCGCCACCCAACAU